AGAGUUUGAUCCUGGCUCAGGAUGAACGCUGGCGGCGUGCCUAACACAUGCAAGUUGAGCGAUUUACUUCGGUAAAGAGCGGCGGACGGGUGAGUAACGCGUGGGUAACCUACCCUGUACACACGGAUAACAUACCGAAAGGUAUGCUAAUACGGGAUAAUAUAUUUGAGAGGCAUCUCUUAAAUAUCAAAGGUGAGCCAGUACAGGAUGGACCCGCGUCUGAUUAGCUAGUUGGUAAGGUAACGGCUUACCAAGGCGACGAUCAGUAGCCGACCUGAGAGGGUGAUCGGCCACAUUGGAACUGAGACACGGUCCAAACUCCUACGGGAGGCAGCAGUGGGGAAUAUUGCACAAUGGGCGAAAGCCUGAUGCAGCAACGCCGCGUGAGUGAUGAAGGCCUUCGGGUCGUAAAACUCUGUCCUCAAGGAAGAUAAUGACGGUACUUGAGGAGGAAGCCCCGGCUAACUACGUGCCAGCAGCCGCGGUAAUACGUAGGGGGCUAGCGUUAUCCGGAUUUACUGGGCGUAAAGGGUGCGUAGGCGGUCUUUCAAGUCAGGAGUGAAAGGCUACGGCUCAACCGUAGUAAGCUCUUGAAACUGGGAGACUUGAGUGCAGGAGAGGAGAGUGGAAUUCCUAGUGUAGCGGUGAAAUGCGUAGAUAUUAGGAGGAACACCAGUUGCGAAGGCGGCUCUCUGGACUGUAACUGACGCUGAGGCACGAAAGCGUGGGGAGCAAACAGGAUUAGAUACCCUGGUAGUCCACGCUGUAAACGAUGAGUACUAGGUGUCGGGGGUUACCCCCUCGGUGCCGCAGCUAACGCAUUAAGUACUCCGCCUGGGAAGUACGCUCGCAAGAGUGAAACUCAAA
rnacentral:rRNA from 1 species